rnacentral:ncRNA from 2 species
GUGAAGCAGAAUUCACCAA